AUGACCAUGCUUCUUCACAUACACUGGAAAAAAUGGACCGUCAAAAUUACGGGCAUCCUGUAUGGCAGUCUUGUACUGGUCUACUCCUCGCUGAAGGAUGACUCUUUCCGGUUGUGCAAGUUGACAUACUAUCCAAACUCUGGGAUAACACCCGAGGAACACAUUGAAGUUCUCACAACGUCAAGGGAUUGAGAUUAGAGACAUAUGGUUCAAGGAUUCGAAGCAAAAACCGCCUACUUUCACAAUAGGACAUAUAGAGCGAUAACUUGGUUCUAUCGCGGUGAUAAUAAUGAUUAUGAGUCGAGAGUAAUCUUCUCGGACUACAAACAUUGCACAAUACUCAGGACUGAAAAGUAUAAAAACCUGUGCGAACUCUUCACUCGCGGUCGUCAUGAUUCCGACCGCGUGAAUAGCUGGUGUUUUUUUAUCUACACUGUCUUUUGUGGGACACCGGCUGUCACUUUCAAGUCUUUAGGAGAAUGUUGGGGAGCACCGGCUAAAGCUGAGCCAUAA